UACGUAGGGCGCAAGCGUUGUCCGGAAUUACUGGGCGUAAAGCGUGCGCAGGCGGUUUUGCAAGCCGGAUGUGAAAUCCCCGGGCUUAACCUGGGAAUGGCAUUCGGGACUGCAAGGCUGGAGUGCGGCAGAGGAGACUGGAAUUCCUGGUGUAGCAGUGAAAUGCGUAGAUAUCAGGAGGAAUACCGAUGGCGAAGGCAGGUCUCUGGGCUGACACUGACGCUCAUGCACGAAAGCGUGGGGAGCAAACAGG
rnacentral:rRNA from 1 species